rnacentral:rRNA from 1 species
GACAGAGGUGGCAAGCGUUGCUCGGAUUCACUGGGCUUAAAGGGCGCGUAGGUGGUCUUGUAAGUCAAAGGUGGAAUUCCACAGCUUAACUGUGGAACUGCCUUUGAUACUGCAAGGCUUGAGUCAGGUAGAGGAGGGCGGAAUUCCCGGUGUAGCGGUGAAAUGCGUAGAUAUCGGGAGGAAGGCCGGUGGCGAAGGCGGCCUUCUGGCCUUAACCUGACGCUGAGGAGCGAAAGCUAGGGGAGCAAACGGG